UUUUUUUUAUAUAGAUUAGAACAUUGGUUUUCCCGUUUAAAUGGUUUUAAACUAGUAAUUUUGGGGCCCUUUAUAGCUUGUUGUUCGGUGUGAGCCAAGGCUCUGUGUUGAAGGCCGUACAUUGACCUAUAAUGGUUUACUUUUUUAAAUUGUUAUUUGGAUGGAGAGUUGUCUCAUUGGCACUCACACCACAUCUUCUUAUAUCUAUUUA
rnacentral:lncRNA from 1 species